UUCCCCGGAGCAGAGGGGCAUCUGACUGAGUGUGACGAGCAGUUGUUGCAUCCCACUGGAUGGCGGCAACCGGUGUGUCACGACGCGUGCUAUACAUUCAUGUUGCAUCUCCUCUUGUAAGACGCAACCUAUUUAGAGCACAUAUUAUGAUGUAGUUAUUCAUCCAUGUGAUUACUUCCACUUCAUAUUGCUGCUUAGCAGUGUGGGAAAUGGAGUCCACUCUGAGUGAUUUACCCCUCCACGGUGCCUCUUUGCCUCACCUCAUCUUAUCAUUGCCCCUGCAGCACUGAAUUACGCAGCAGCACUCUCUGUUGCCAGGCAACGGCCACAGUGCCAGACUGGCUGGGAGGGACUCCCGCAUCGUGGAUCUUAUUGGCCAUGGCGGCGGCAGUCGGUGUACACUCACAGGGCACUUUAUUAGGUACACCUGCACAAUGAAGCACCAGUCCGAGAAAACAGGCACAUGUUGAUUGUGCUUUGAAGCUCUUCAAUGUAUUACAAAUAUGAUGCUUGAAUAGCCCAAGCUGCCAAUUUAGAGCAACAGAUGGACUUCUGGGGAGAUGAUGAUGAUGAGCAGGCCCUUGGCAUACAGUACUUUAUGUCAGCGCUAUUCAACUAGUGGACCAUAUCUGGCCGGGAAAUUAUUAUACCGGCCCCCAAAUUCAGUACAAAUGGGUGUCAAACAUGUUUGCAGCAAAUUCCUAAAAACAUUAAAGUGCUCCUGUUUUAUAGAAAAACUUGGAACACUUGGAUCCUAACUGAGGCAUUCCUCAAGACACCCCUUUAAGUCGGCUCCAUUUUGGUAAUGUGAUUUGUGCUGUAGCUCGUUUACUGCAGAUGCAGUCAGUAUAGUCAUUUGUACAACUUCUUUAGUUAUACCAGUAGUGUUUUUCGGGGUUCCAUUUUGGGUCCUCUGUUUUUCAUCAUUUGGGCUAAUCAGCUGGUGGCCUCUGAGUUAAAAAAACAAAAAAACAACUUGUGAGAGGCUCACAUUUUGCAGCAGAUUCUUAAAAACACAAGAGUGCUGUCAUACAGAUAAUUUUUGUUUAGCUUUUUUGCAGAAGGUCCUUAAAACAGCAGAUAGCUCCUGUAACUCUGAGAAAAUAAAUAGCCCAAAAUGAAAUGUCUCCUGCAGAGGACGCCGGUUCUCCACAAUAUACAAAAUAAGACUGAUAGUGAAGGGAGAAAUGUGGCUGCUCACUAGCUUUCUGGAAAUGUGAUAUAAAUAUCCAAAACAAUUUAGUUGAAUAGGCCUGCUCUAUGUGUUUAGUGUCACAAAGCAAAAUGUUUGUCCCUUACUUGAAAUGUUUACCAAGUGAAAAUCGAUUUGACACAAAUAUGAACAUGAAUAUUAAUUACAGCCCCUCUAUUACAGACAUUGUUCAAAUCAAGAUAUUUGUCUCUGUAAAUGGCAGCAAAUUUUGUUCAUGAGAAAAAUGCAGUUCUGUCACUUUUGUGCCUUUAUUUUGAAGAGCCCACUCUUAUUAUGUUACUUCCUUUAUUGCUGACGCUUAACUUCCUGUUCCCGUCGCAUCCGGCAUCAACAGCAUGCUCACGUCACUCCAGGACUGGAGAGUCACUACGAGCUGUGUGUGGAAGAUAGGCUAACAAGCUGAGCAAACUUAGCGCCCUUGGAAGCGGAAGGAGGCUCCGAUGGGGUUAACAGGACAUGGAGACAGUUGGGCCGCACCCACGCAGCUGAUUUAAAUAACACCGCGUUUUGGCGCGAGGCUGCGAGCAGACCACGCCCAUCUUCAUACCCGCCAGCCUCCCUGCCGCCUGAGUGGCGGGAAAUGCAAGACAAGAAGGGAGGGGGAGGGGGCAUAACACAGAAAUGAAUGAGCAGUAGCGGCUCACCUACCAACUGCACUGGUUGCCGUGGAAACCCAAAACAAAAUCUAGCAAAGGGGAGGAGGGGGCUGGGGGUGGAGCAACACCCACCUUCCUGUUGUGGCGCGAAACUGCUGAGAGAUAAAGCGCUCUCUGUGGGAGGAGACAAAGGCAAGCAUGAGUGGAGCAGACCAGAACAAAGAGGGUACCCUUACCCCUGAUCAAAGCUCCACCCCCCAAAACACACUAUGAAAGCUGACGGCAAAAUGAUGAAUGGCUGUUAGAACCUUAGCUUGCAGCUUCAUUAUUCUUCUACAUUUGGCUUGAACCUGAUCUAGUCCACAACACAAGAGAAGAACUUGAGAAGACAAGAAAAAUAAACACAAAUCAUUCACUGUUUUUCCCAAUUAAACAUACAUUAUCAAGCUAAUUUCUACCUUUUUACACUGGCUUACUUCUUUUUACACCUGCGUGACAAUUAGUAUUGUUGAGAGACACUGAACGUGAACCUAAUGAACCCGAGACUCAGGCUGAUACACACUUGAUGUGUUGGGACAUGAGAUGCGGUUCAACCCCCGCUAAGGUAGAGGAACCGCAAGAAGGUCACACGACUAACACAGACCACUAAAAGCAUCCACGAGCACUCAAGUCAUUUAAUUAGAUUUGAAUUUCAUUGGUCAUCACAAACAUGAUUGUCCUGCCUUAAAGGAUCACUGGUGUCUGUGGGUCAAAGUCACACAACAGCAAUUUUGUCUCAUUUCCUGUCUCCAUUUGGCUCAACACAAAAACAGGAUAUGUGUACUGACUAUGCGUUUCCUGGGCCUUGUAAUAGGCUCUGUCUUUCCCUGCUUUUACAAUAAGGAUGGGUGUCAAAUCUCGGUUCCAUAAGGGACAUACGCCGUGUAACCAGACCAAAAAGCUCAGUAGCUAAUGCAGACUCGGAAACCUGCAACAAGUGCUUGAAGGUGCAAUUGUGCAAGUCAUGUCUUGUAAUGAAUAUAGCAUCCCUACAGAGGAUGAGGUGGCGACUUGUCCAGGGUGUACCCUGCCUUCCGCCCGAAUGCAGCUGAGAUAGGCUCCAGCACCUCCCGCAUCCCCAAAAGGUACAAGCAGUAGAAAAUGGAUGGAUGGAUGGAUCCCUACAGAGGCCCACAGAAUUUGACGCUUUUUAUAAAAAAGUUGAUUGCCAACCUUAACACGCGAAAAGCAACCCUCAGUUCCAACACAGUAACACAACACUUCCUGAUUAUGCGCCAAUCACGGUAAUAGUGAGUGAGGUGCCUUUACAA